UGUAGGAAAUUGUAGGAAUAAUAACCUUUGCUUUCAUUUAAAACAACUCAAAAGAUUAUGCUUAGUUUGCUUAAUUCAUAAAUCAAUGGAAAUCAAAUCAACCCUAACAAUUUCACUGUUAUAAGUGCUUUCUGGGUGUUGGAAAUGAAGUUUUAAGGCAAUGAACAAAACAACAAUUUUUGCCUUUACCACUGAUGUAGGUAUUUGUGACAGCUAUAUUUAUACAAGCUAUGAAGCUCCCUUAGGGACAGACAUGUUAGCAAUGAGAUGAACAGUGUAGCCAAUGAUAAAUAGAUGAAACACCAAUUACCUUACUAGAUGAAUCGAUUCCCAUGCGCACAACUCCACCUUCAACCAAACUGUAUGUGGAGAACCAUUCUCCAUUGAGACACAUGUGGAAAGAACAUCUCGAAUCUAGGAUCCACUCGGACAUGAGCUUGGAGUUAUCGCUCGUUGACACUAACAAGAAAUUAUCACCGCUUUCCUCAACCAAAUUAGUACCAGCUACAUCUUCCUCGUUACUCUCAACAACUCUUUUAUUUCGCAAUUUAUAACAAUCUGCUUUGAUGUGACCUAACUUUUUACAAUAGCAACACCUUUUGUCUCGUUUCUUUGAUGCUACCAAAACGGAAGCUUGCCUAUCUGCCUUGCUAUCCAAACUAAACUCAUUUUUAAGUUUGUCCCUACUCAACAAAUGACCCUUCACAUCUUCGAACGAGAGUUUGUCUCUGCCAUAAAUUAGGGUCUCCCUGAAAGGCUUGUAUGAAUGGGGUAAAGAGCACAAUAAUAGCAUAGUUUGAUCUUCAUCAUCAAUACAAACCUCAACGUUCUUUAAAUCAUUUAAAAGAGUAAUGAAUUGACUGAUGUGAUAUCUAAGAAGCUCACUUUCAUUCAUGCGAAAUGUAAAUAGAUGUUAUUUCAACACUAAACGGUUAGCUAGAGACUUAGUCGCAUAAAGAGUUUCUAACCUUUUCCACAAGGCAGAUGAGGUCUUCUCCUUCAAUACCUCUUGCAAUACUGUAUUUGCGAGGCACAACUGGAUUGCAGACAAGGCCUUUUCAUCAAACUCUUCCCAUUCUGUUUAAUUUGGAUUCUCAGGCUUUUUCCCGGUAACAACCUUUUUCAAGCUGGUUUGAACUAGAAUUGUCAUCUGUAAUCACUGUAUUUUGUCUGAUUCAAAUUUCGUGUUUUUUUAAAUUAUGGGUUUGGGAUUGUACGGGCCCAAUGAUCGGGCCCAUUGUGUUUGGAUAAUUGGGCUUGUUUAGGCUUUAGCCAUUAGUGUUUUGUCUUUAUUUUUAUAUUUUAUUAAUUUUAAAUAAUAAUAUCAAAAUAAAAAAUACAAAAUUUAAAAUUACAUUUUAACCCCUUAACUUUCUUAAAAUUAUAUUUUGACCCUUAAAUUUUCCUAAAAUUACAUAUUGACCCCUUAAUUUUCCUAACCUUUUAACCUUAAAUUUUCAUAAAAUUACAUUUUGGCCCCAAAAUUUUUGCAUCAUUUACAAUCCAGUCCUUCUAGCACAAGGGCGCGAUUUGCGCACCUACGCUCUACGAUUUCCGGCGGUCGGUAUGGGUGGUGGCCCCCUCCUCAGGUUCUACCUGCAAGGAGAGAAAAUCAGCAAUAAAACACCAAGAAGUAACCAAAAAAGGAGCCAAUCAACAAAAAAAAAGAACAAAAAAGCAAACAAAAUCAAAGGAAAAAAACAACAAAAACAGUAGCAAAAAAAACACGCUGCCCCACCGCCGUACCCACCGCUGCCCUUUACCACUCAGCCGUCACACCACUAUCGCCAAACACAAGCAAGCCAAAGGAAAAAAAAUCAAAAGAGUGCAAGAAAAAAAUCAAAAAAAUAGCACGGUCGUGCCCACCGCCGCCCUUUACCACCGCGACCGCUGUUGCACCACCGAGAGCAAGAAUCGGCGGCGAAAAAAAUGGCCUAGGGUUUGAAAAGAGGAAAAAGAAAAGAAAGGAAGAAGAGGAAAAAGAAAAAAAAAGAAAAAAAUAAAGAGCAGUCGGGUCGACCCGACCUGACCCGACUCAGAUCUGACCCGACCCACAAUCCGUUCCAACCCAGCGCCCAACUCAACAUCCAGCAGGCCCAAAGCCACAACCGACCCAAUAAUAGGCCCAACGCCGAGCAAACAGCAAGCCCAUUUUCAGCAAGCCCAGAUAUGACCCAAAAAAAAGAAAAAAAAUAAAAGGUAGCAGGCCUAACCCAGCAAAGGCCCAAUAGCAAGCAGCCCAGCAAAGGUCUGACCUAGCACCUAGCAGGCCCACUCCAGUCUAGGCCCAGCAGCGCCUAGCAGGCCAACCUAGCAGUAGCAGCAGGCCUAACAUCGCCCAGCCCAGUAGCAAGCAGGCCAGCAGCAGCCAGCCUAGCCCAGCAGUAGAAAAAAAAAGAAAAGAAAAAAGGGAAAAAAAAGAGCCCGAGUCGUGUAGCCCAUUCGAUCAAGCCCGUAACCUUGGGUUUUCAGUAAAUUCUUGAUUUAUUUAUUUAUUUAUUUAGUCCCUGUAUUUAAAUAUUAUCCCAUUUUAAUUAAAUUAGUAUUUUUAAAUAGCUUUUUUUUGAAAUAUUUUAUUUUACAAUUUUUUUAUUUUUUUAAUUUAAAUAAUUUUUUUAAUAUUAGGUAACGAACCGAUUUAGCAUUAAAUCAUUGAUUUCGCUGCUAUGUUGGGUGGAUGUCAUUGAUUUUUUGUUAAAUACGGCAUGACCUAAAAAUCAAGAAAUUCAAAAAUCCCUGCAUUUUAAAAUAAAAUGUUUAUUUUUGUGAUUAUUUGUAAAUUAUCGGCAUUUCAUUUUUAAAAUAUAUAUAAUUCAAUAAUAUGUAAUUUAUCAAAAUUCUCAUUUUUUUUAGAAAAUCGGAUCAUGAUUAAAUAUUAAAUUGAACUCGUAUUUUUAAAAAUUAAGACAACGCGCGCUUAACGAGAUAUCAAUUUUGGGUGUCACGAGGGUGCUAAUACCUUCCUCGUGCGUAAUUGACUCCCGAACCCUAAUUUUCUCUGGAUUUUGUGGACCUAAAAUUGACUCUUUUUUUAGAAAAUUUUAAAAAUAAUUUUUUCUUUUAAAAAGAUAAUUUAGUAGGUGUCCGAUCACACCUAGAAAAAGGAUCGGUGGCGACUCCUCUUUUUUUUAAAAAAAAUUGAGACUCUGUUUUCAAAUUUUCAAUAAUCGCCUCGACUAGCGCCCGUGCAAAUUUUUAGGUCGCUACAGCUGGCGACUCAACUAGGGAUAUUAAUUUUGAGAGUCGAGUCUGAUGUUAAUCGCGUGUUGUCAAAAUUUUUAGAAUUCCUUGUUCAAAUUAACAUUUAAUCAUGAUCUUUGAAUUUUUUUUUUGAAAAGUCAUGCAUCUACAUCAUGUUGUAAAUAUUUUUCUAACUCAUUUUAUCCUUUUGCUUUUCAUCUCUAAAUUUUACUGUUUUAGUUUUUUUUAGUAAAAAUAAAAAAGGUUUGUGAGUUUCUCCCCACACACCGUGCAAUUGCAUUCUUUCAUAAAAUGAGCUCUCUACCCGAGCUUCGUCCGUUUAAGUGGAAGUAAACACUACGCCUUCGUGAGUUAACUUGUCCCUCCGCACAGCCUAGUGAAAUACUUCCGGGUUACAUAUGACUUAUGAUUUCGUGAGUUAACUUGUCCCUCCGCAUAGGCAUAAGUAAAUGUAAUAAAAAGAUUAAAUUCUUUGAAAUAAAAGUAAAAUGAUUAAAUUUUAAAUGUACGAAGAAUACAGGGACUUAAAAGUAUAUUUUAAUUGUUUUUUAAUGUUGAAUUGCAGACUAGUUCUAACCGUUUGCUUUAAGAUUUAACGUAUAAUGAAUAUAUUAAUACUUUUAUAAGGUUAAAACAUGUGACAAGGAUUUGUAUUCUUCGUAAAAAUUAAAAUUUAGUCUUUGUACUCUUAUUUCUAGUACUUUAGUUCUUUUACAUUUCAGAUUUCAAAAUUUAGGUUUAAUUGGUAACAAUAUUAAAUUUUUUCUGUUAAAUUUGUUGGUCUGCCAUUUUAAAAUUAAUUCUCACUUGAUGGUCAUGUAACUAAAAAAAAUAAAUUUGAAUUUAACAAAAUAAUUUUAAUAGUGUUAUCAAUUGGACCUUAAUUUUGAAAUCUAAAAAACAAAUGGGAUAAAUUCCUAAAAAAAUAAAAGUACAGUGACUAAAAUAGAAAUUUACGAAGAGUAUAAGGAGUCAUGGUAUAUUUUGACUUUUUAUAAUGGAUGAACUAUUUGACCUCUAAAGAAAGGAUUGUAUGAAACAAUAACACCACAUCAUCUGAAACCCUUUUCUAAUAGUUCAAUGUCAUAUCAAUAUUUUCAUCUUAAAUUUCAGCAUUUUCAUCUUGAAAAAAAUCAAAUCCAAAGUAAAAUAUUGAAAUUCAAAAUGAAAUUGCUGACGUGGCAUAAAACUAUUAGAAAAUGGAUAAUCUAUGUUUCAUACGAUCCUUUCUCGUUGCAAUAAAAAGAUUAAAUUAUCUCAAAUAAUAUAACUUAUUUUAAUUACAGAAAGACAUUUCCAUAAUUUCCUUAAUUGAGUUGGUGACCCAGUUGAGGGUGAUACCAAUUCAAUAAAACACUUAAUAAAUAGUAUAAAUAUUAUUAAAUUUAAUUAUGAUAAUCGAGUUUUAAUUCAAAUGUAAAGUAAUGCAUUUAAAUGUAAAAAAGUAUAAAAAAAUAAUAUUAAUGUACCAAAAUAAUAUUAAAUAUUAUUAAAAAUAAACUAAAAUAUACAAAGAUAAAAAUUAUCUUUUACAAAUUAAAACUAUUUUUCCUUUUAGUUUCUUUAAAUUGAGGGUAGACGAGUAUAAUAAUAAUAAUAAAGCGGAUGGUUUUUUACUCCUCGACCUUCACCUUUACCUUUCACUUUAAAUCUGAUUUUAUUAAGAAUUUUUGACCCUCUCCUCCAAUUAGUUUUUCCCAAUCUCGUUUCGAUUCACCUUGAAAUUUUAAAUAUUAAUUUAUAAUAUAUUCAUUUUGAUAAAAUCAAAUUAGAUAUAUAUACAUAAAAUUAAAAUAUGUCAUAAAUUCUUAUAAUAUUAAGAAACUAUAAUUUAAAGAUAAAAAUAGUUAUAAAAUAUGCCAUAAGCCCUUGUACUCUUCAUAAAUUUAAAAUUUAAUCCCUCUUCUUUUAUUUCUAGAAAUUUAACUUCACUCUUCAGAUUUCAAAAUUAUUUAUAUGUGGUGCUUCUUUGUGGUCACUGUGGAUUGUUCGUAAUGAGGUUGUUUUUAACAAUAAAUGCAUCACUAUGGAUGAGGUCUUUCGAUUGGGCUCAAGGAUUUAAGGAAAAUUAUCAGAAAAAAGGGAAAGACCUAAAUCAUGAUGAACUCUUCUUCCCAUCCAACUUCCCAACUUCAUAUCUUCUAUUCCAUAACUUUGACAUGCAUAGCGUUAUGGUCCAUGAAUCUAACAUCCACAUAUGACAAAUAGAAUAGGCAAAAUGUUGUAGGAAAUUGUAGGAAUAAUAACCUUUGCUUUCAUUUAAAACAAUUCAAAAGAUUAUGCUUAGUUUGCUUAAUUCAUAAAUCAAUGGAAAUCAAAUCAACCCUAACAAUUUCACUGUUAUAAGUGCUUUCUGGGUGUUGGAAAUGAAGUUUUAAGGCAAUGAACAAAGCAGCAAUUUUUGCCUUUACCACUGAUGUAGGUAUUUGUGACAGCUAUAUUUAUACAAGCUAUGAAGCUCUCUUAGGGACAGACAUGUUAGCAAUGAGAUGAACUGUGUAGCCAAUGAUAAAAAGAUGA
rnacentral:lncRNA from 1 species